rnacentral:siRNA from 1 species
UGGGUACAUUCGGGUCAUCUUG